ensembl:miRNA mir15c microRNA 15b
AGGCCUUAAAGUGCUGUAGCAGCACAUCAUGGUUUGCAACACUGUAGUGAAGAUGCGAACCAUUAUUUGCUGCUUUAGAAUUUUAAGGAA